CCUACGGGGGGCAGCAGUGGGGAAUAUUGGGCAAUGGGCGCAAGCCUGACCCAGCAACGCCGCGUGAAGGAAGAAGGCUUUCGGGUUGUAAACUUCUUUUGUCAGGGACGAAGCAAGUGACGGUACCGGACGAAUAAGCCACGGCUAACUCCGGGCCAGCAGCCGCGGUAAUACGUAGGUGGCAAGCGUUAUCCGGAUUGAGUGGGUGUAAAGGGCGUGUAGGCGGGAAGGCAAGUCAGAUGUGAAAACUAUGGGCUCAACCCAUAGCCUGCAUUUGAAACGGUAUUUCUUGCGUGCUGGAGAGGCAAUCGUCCUUCCGUGUGUAGCGGUGAACUGCGUAGAUAUACGGAG
rnacentral:rRNA from 1 species